GGGUGUUGUGCUGGCUUGUGCUCCUUCGAAUUCCAGAUUCAAUUUUCAAACAGCCACGCGUCAUCGCUCUCGCGCAUCGCGCGAGGUGAGCUUCUCAUUCUGCCCCUAACAGCGAGGGGCAUGGAGCGCCGCGAGGCGCACCUUGUAUCGUUUCGCUUCCGGCAUCGCGUGCGAGGCGAUGAAACUCCGGAAAGCGCAUCGCCUUGCGGCGCUCCAUUGCGGCGAUUUUGGGCGAGGGGACCGUACUUCCGGGUGCGGACGGGGGAGGUUACUCGACCCCUGAGGGGUUUCGCCGCUUUCGUCCGCUCCGCGUCCAGCCGGCGAACGGCAGAGCCACGUAGUUGGCCCGGACGGUGACCCCAGCCUCCCGGACGCGUGUGUGCGAGACACGCGCGCAGGCGCCGCAUCCUGCUCCGCCUUGAAGACGCCUCUAGAAAGCGCCCCUCACGAACAGGACGUGACGAACUUAAGCGCGCUUCAGAAC
rnacentral:misc_RNA from 1 species